AGCAAAAAAGCAUGAUAUUUUUUCAUGUUCAAUGAACAAUAAAACAGCAUAUAAAAUAUAAAUACAACUUCCAUUUUAUAAAUAUAAAAAAAUAAAUAUCAAUAAAUUAAAUUAGCUUAGAUUUAAACAUUUACAUUAUAUACACAAGUAUAAGACACAAGUACAAUGCUUCAUAUAUAUUAGUUAGAUGACUUUCCCCUUCAUAUAAACUCAUAACUUUUUAGAGAGUAUGUUUAACAAAGAGGCACAUGAACAAGUAAAAUGUGAUACAAGUAAAAUGCUUUAGAUAUAUGUAUUAGUCUGACAACUUUCCUCUUAAUAUAAACUUGCAUAACAUUUUAGAAAGGGUUAAUUGUCAUGGUUCCAGUACUGCUCAACAUGACAAAUAUCCAUGGAGCAGUCUUACAGAAGGAGAUUCAGUUCCUGGGAGUUUGUAGACAACAGUCUGCAAAAACUCCCACACUGGUGCACACUGCUGCGGGAAAUGGAUGUCUAAAACAUAAAAAAGUUUUAAGCACGUGUCCACAGCACCAAGGAGUGUGUUUUGAUGCAGUGUCUGUUUGCCAACAACUACAAAGGCUUGAUGGCAUUGACCGGCAUCCCCAAGACCAAGGACAAAGGGAAAGGGUUUAGUGAGCUCUGCCUCCUUCAAAUAUUCAACCAUGUUGGUCCCAACCUGUUAAAAACAGAAAAAUUUUAAAAACAUACAACUCACUAUACUUCACUAUAUCAAAAUGCAGCAUUAUUAAACAAAAUCAAUCAUUAAUAUUUUAUAUAUCGUGCAGUUGACUCAAAUUACAUUCUACAGUAAUUUGCAUAAUUAAUCAUUCGCACAUUAACUCACUCAUAUGCUUUAUAUAAAGUCACGUCUCAGCGUCUUAAGACAUUAAACAAGUCACGACUGCAAACGUUACAUCUCUCUAUUUGUGGAUAUGACCAGUGCUCUGUCCUCACUGAAAAACGAUGGCUCUUGACUCCUGAGGUGAUUCAAAAUGCCCGCGUAGGUGCCUGAGCUCUCUCAGAUCUCUGCAUACUGAGAAGAAGACCCCCAGCUCAGGUGUGUAGGAUGGGUGAUGAUCCCGAGACAGAAUCUGCACAAGCUCCGCUGAGAGAUCAGAAGAAAGGAUUUUAGACACAUUUCAUACAUCCGUUCAAGUAUUAAAUAUCCUCGGCCCCGUUUGCACCCAGUAUUAGCUUCUGAUUUUGUGAUUGUGUUACUGUAUGUUGAAAAAUGCACUAGAAUUUUAAUCUCAUCACAAAAUGCGAUCCAGCAGCAUAAUCAUUGUUAUAUAAAAUGCUGGCACACUGACAAAUGUGAUCUUCACUCAUAUUUACAUGACCUCAC
ensembl:lncRNA